GAUGAACGCUGGCGGCGUGCCUAAUACAUGCAAGUCGAGCGAAUGGAUUAAGAGCUUGCUCUUAUGAAGUUAGCGGCGGACGGGUGAGUAACACGUGGGUAACCUGCCCAUAAGACUGGGAUAACUCCGGGGAACCGGGGCUAAUACCGGAUAAUAUUUUGAACUGCAUGGUUCAAAAUUGAAAGGCGGCUUCGGCUGUCACUUAUGGAUGGACCCGCGUCGCAUUAGCUAGUUGGUGAGGUAACGGCUCACCAAGGCAACGAUGCGUAGCCGACCUGGGAGGGUGAGCGGCCACACUGGGACCGAGAAACGGCCCAGACUCCUACGGGAGGCAGCAGUAGGGAAUAUUCCGCAAUGGACGAAAGUCUGACGGAGCAACGCCGCGUGAGUGAUGAAGGCUUUCGGGUCGUAAAACUCUGUUGUUCGGGAAGAACAAGUGCUAGUUGAAUAAGCUGGCACCUUGACGGUACCUAACCAGAAAGCCACGGCUAACUACGUGCCAGCCGCCGCAGUAA
rnacentral:rRNA from 1 species